rnacentral:miRNA from 1 species
CUGGAAGACUAGUGAUUUUGU